UACGUAGGGCGCAAGCGUUGUCCGGAAUUAUUGGGCGUAAAGAGCUCGUAGGCGGCCUGUUGCGUCCGCUGUGAAAGCCCGGGGCUUAACCCCGGGUCUGCAGUCGAUACGGGCAGGCUAGAGUUCGGUAGGGGAGAUCGGAAUUCCUGGUGUAGCGGUGAAAUGCGCAGAUAUCAGGAGGAACACCGGUGGCGAAGGCGGAUCUCUGGGCCGAUACUGACGCUGAGGAGCGAAAGCGUGGGGAGCGAACAGG
rnacentral:rRNA from 1 species